UGGGGAAUUUUGGACAAUGGGCGAAAGCCUGAUCCAGCAAUGCCGCGUGUGUGAAGAAGGCCUUCGGGUUGUAAAGCACUUUUGUCCGGAAAGAAAUCCUUGGCUCUAAUACAGUCGGGGGAUGACGGUACCGGAAGAAUAAGCACCGGCUAACUACGUGCCAGCAGCCGCGGUAAUACGUAGGGUGCAAGCGUUAAUCGGAAUUACUGGGCGUAAAGCGUGCGCAGGCGGUUUGCUAAGACCGAUGUGAAAUCCCCGGGCUCAACCUGGGAACUGCAUUGGUGACUGGCAGGCUAGAGUAUGGCAGAGGGGGGUAGAAUUCCACGUGUAGCAGUGAAAUGCGUAGAGAUGUGGAGGAAUACCGAUGGCGAAGGCAGCCCCCUGGGCCAAAUACUGACGCUCAUGCACGAAAGCGUGGGGAGCAAAACAGGAUUAGAUACCCUGGGUAGUCCACGCCCUAAACGAUGUCAACUAGUUGUUGGGGAUUCAUUUCCUUAGUAACGUAGCUAACGCGUGAAGUUGACCGCCUGGGGAGUACGGUCGCAAGAUUAAAACUCAAAGGAAUUGACGGGGUCAUAGCUGUUUCCU
rnacentral:rRNA from 1 species